GAAUUCAGCCAUUUCAGAGAGUCACUGCACGUUUUUCACAGUAAUGUACGAUAAAGACUCGUAAUUAACAUGGCAGAUAUCAUCAAGAAAAUUAUCCAGUAUAUUAGAAGAUCAUCUUCUGUCAGUCUGUUCGGUCCGACUCUAACACACCCAGAAACAGUUGAGCAGAUGAUUACAAACAGUGAUCAUCUUCGGAAAGAGAUUAUCUGGAGGAAUGCAGCAGUAUGAAGAACAUUUUGUUAUACUUUAUAAUGUCAUUGUUCACGAAAGGUGUGUUUGGUGAGUCUGUGUCAGUGAAGGAGGGAGAUUCUGUCAUUCUGAAAGUGAACUGAAAUACACUGAAAUACACAAAGAUGAUGUGAUAGACUGGAGAUUAGGAGCUGAAAUUGAACUCAUAGCUAGAAUAACCCCUCAAUAUAUGAUGAUGCUCUUAAUGGGACAUUCAGAGACAGACUGAAGCUGAACGUUCAGACUGGAGAUCUCAUCCUCAAAAACAUCAAAACCACAGGAGUUUAUGAAGUAACCAACAGCGCCAACACCUUUAAGAAGUCAUUCAGUGUUACUGUUGUGCCUGCAGAUGAUGUGAAGUCAGUGUUAGUGAUUGAGGGAGAUUCUGUUCCUCUAAACACUGACGUUACUGAAAUGUGGAGAUAUAAUGAGAUACAGUGGAGGUUUGAUCAUUAAAACUUUCCUGUAGCUGAAAUCGAUAGAAAAACUGGAAAUGUCUCUACAUAUGAUGGUCCUGAUGGGAGAUUCAAAGACAGACUGAAGGUGGAUCAUCAAACUGGAUCUCUGACCAUCACAAACAUCAGAACCACAGACUCUGGAGUUUAUAAACUAGAGACCAGCAGCAGCAAAUACACCAUACACAAGUCAUUCACUUUGACUGUCAGCGGUGAGUUUAUCAAGUUUAUUAAGUGUUUCAAUGUAAUAGUGAACGUAUUUAGAUCAGCACGGUGUGAAUAGAUUUUAGUAGUUGACUUAUUUGCUCUGAAUUAAGGCUAAGAAACUAAAUGGAUGUGGUUCUUUUAGUUUACUUUUUCUCAGACUCUCAAAGCUUUAUGUAGAAGCAAUGUUGAGAAUUUAACUCUACACAUUUCAUACUGUACGUUAUUUCGGAAAUUAAAUAAAAAGUGUCCUUUGAAUCAUUCAAUUCAGUUCAUCAGUUCCCCAACACCUGUAAAACUGCAUGUUAUUAGAUACAUAAGUAGAUAAACAUUUUCAUCAAGACAAACUUUGAAGUUGGCUUGAGAAAGCUAAGCAGGACGUUUUAAAAGCUAGAGAUUAGAUUAGGUUUUCAGGUUGAAGUAGUUUC